CCUACGGGAGGCAGCAGUGAGGAAUAUUGGUCAAUGGACGAGAGUCUGAACCAGCCAAGUAGCGUGAAGGAUGACUGCCCUAUGGGUUGUAAACUUCUUUUAUAAAGGAAUAAAACGAGGCACGUGUGCCUUUUUGCAUGUACUUUAUGAAUAAGGAUCGGCUAACUCCGUGCCAGCAGCCGCGGUAAUACGGAGGAUCCGAGCGUUAUCCGGAUUUGUUGGGUUUAAAGGGAGCGUAGAUGGGUUGUUAAGUCAGUUGUGAAAGUUUGCGGCUCAACCGUAAAAUUGCAAUUGAUACUGGCAGUCUUGAGUACAGUUGAGGUAGGCGGAAUGCGUGGUGUAGCGGUGAAAUGCAUAGAUAUCACGAAGAACCCCGAUUGCGAAGGCAGCUUACUAAACUGUGACUGACAUUGAUGCUCGAAAGUGUGGGUAUCAAACAGGAUUAGAUACCCCAGUAGUC
rnacentral:rRNA from 1 species